CUUGCGGCUUGAUCGAAGACCAUUUGAAAUUGAUUUACUACAUUGAAAUGGUUCAAAAAUAAGCCUAGAGCAAGAUUUUGUAACGACGGUCACUGCUUUAUGUAAUAUCAAAGUCGUAUUGCGGUAACUUUUACGUGCAAUUACAGUU
rfam:Glossina austeni unplaced genomic scaffold Scaffold16, whole genome shotgun sequence.